rnacentral:lncRNA from 1 species
CCAAUUGAUAGCCUCACAAUAAGGUCAUUUGGCAAUUUAGUACAAAGUUAGUUAGGUUUGACAAUAAUUAUUUUAUUUUUUAAUUUAAAUUCUUAAAAAGAGUUGUGAGUUCGAGUCUCCCCAAGAUCAAGGUGGAGAAUUCUUGGAGGGAAGGAUGUCGGGGGUCUAUUUGGAAACAGCCUCUCUACCGAAAGGUAGGGGUAAUGUCUGCGUCCACACUAUCCUCCUUAAACCCCACUAAGUGGGAUUAUACU